CCGAGUUAUACAACUCAUCAACCCUGUGAACAUACCUAAAACGUUGCUUCGGCGGGAACAGACGGCCCUGUAACAACGGGCCGCCCCCGCCAGAGGAACCCCUAACUCUGUUUUUAUAAUGUUUUUCUGAGUAAACAAGCAAAUAAAUUA
rnacentral:misc_RNA from 1 species